GCGAGCGUAGCCAAGCGGUUAAGGCAGUGGGUUGUGGCUCCACUAUUCGCGGGUUCAAUUCCCGUCGUUCGCC
rnacentral:tRNA from 1 species